rnacentral:rRNA from 1 species
CACGUGAGCAACCUACCCUUGACACUGGGAUAACAGUUGGAAACAGCUGCUAAUACCGGAUACGAACUCAGCAGGCAUCUGCCGAGUUGGAAAGCUCCGACGGUCAAGGAUGGGCUCGCGGCCUAUCAGCUCGUUGGUGAGGUAACGGCUCACCAAGGCGACGACGGGUAGCCGGCCUGAGAGGGCGACCGGCCACACUGGGACUGAGAUACGGCCCAGACUCCUACGGGAGGCAGCAGUGGGGAAUAUUGCGCAAUGGGCGAAAGCCUGACGCAGCAACGCCGCGUGCGGGAUGACGGCCUUCGGGUUGUAAACCGCUUUCAGCAGGGACGAAACUGACGGUACCUGCAGAAGAAGCACCGGCUAACUACGUG